ensembl:lncRNA MIR99AHG mir-99a-let-7c cluster host gene
GUAUUAUAUUAGUUUAACUAGUUAUCUUGAAAUUCUGAAGUUCCUUGAAUCUAUUUUAAUUUUGUAUCAGGAAUUGGAGAGGUUUUUCCAGAAAAGUGUUACUUAAAUGCAUCAAAUGCAAUGUGGGAAUUUUGACCCACUUCUUGUAUUUCUAUUUUCCUGCUGUUUUUGCCCCCAGAGGAAGAAUAUAAACAUUUUGCUUAUUGUAACACAUUGCUUCAUUAUGAUAUAUUAUUGUUACCAUUUUUUUAAAAAAAGAAUGUUUCUAGGUUUUAAUUAAGCUCCUUCACCUAAUAUGUAAUUUUAAAGUUAUUAUUUCAUAUAAUAUCUAACUUGCCACAGUUAGGAACCUGGAGCAGACUGAACCUUUGGACAAAAUGAUGCCGUUAUUAUGAAAACAGAAAAGCAUAGACCAGGUGUGGUGGCAUAUGCCUAUAAUCCUAGCACUUUGGGAGGCUGAGGUGAUCCACCUACCUCGGCCUCUCAAAGUGUUGGAGUUACAAGCAUGGGCCACCGCACCCGGCCUAUUUAUAAUUUUUUGAGGAAACUUUGUACUUUUUCCCAUAGCUGUACCAUUUUGCAUUUCCACCUACAGUGUUCAAGAGUUCCAGUUUCUCCACAUCCUUACCAAUACUUGUCUUUUUUUUUUUUUAAUAGCCAUCCUGGCAGAUGUAAGGUGAUAUUUCAUCACAGUUUUGAUUUGCAUUUCCCUGAUAACUAAUGACAUUGGACUUUUUUUUAUAUAUCUGCUGGCCACCUGUAUGUCUUCUUUGGAGAAACAUCUAUUCAAGUUUCUAGUUCAUUUUUAAAUUGGAUUAUUUGCUUUUUGCUAUUGAGUUGUUUGAGUUCCUUAUCUAUUUUGAAGCUUAACCCUAUAUCAAAUGGGAUUCUUAUAUUUUUGUUUCAUAUUUUGUAAUAUAUCAGGUCCAUGAAAUUAGCUAUCUUAAGUAAGUUGCUUUUGUGUUGUUUCUUAUGACAAUUCUGAUUAGAAUAUUAAUACAAACGUGAAAUGCAGCUUUUACCAACAAAUGGGCUAGUUUUUAUUGAAUCAAUAAAACCCAUAUUUUGAGAGUUUUACUCAAAAGAACCUAAAAUUCAGUUGAAUAUAAAGAAAUGGGGUUGUUUGUUUUUUUCUUGUAAAUUUGUUUGAGUUCAUUGUAGAUUCUGGAUAUUAGCCCUUUGUCAGAUGAGUAGGUUGCGAAAAUUUUCUCCCAUUUUGUAGGUUGCCUGUUCACUCUGAUGGUAGUUUCUUUUGCUGUGCAGAAGCUCUUUAGUUUAAUUAGAUCCCAUUUGUCAAUUUUGGCUUUUGUUUCCAUUGCUUUUGGUGUUUUAGACAUGAAGUCCUUGCCCAUGCCUAUGUCCUGAAUGGUAAUGCCUAGGUUUUCUUCUAGGGUUUUUAUGGUUUUAGGUCUAACGUUUAAGUCUUUAAUCCAUUUUGAAUUAAUUUUUGUAUAAGGUGGGCGAAGGACAUGAACAGACACUUCUCAAAAGAAGACAUUUAUGCAGCCAAAAAAUACAUGAAAAAAUGCUUACCAUCACUGGCCAUCAGAGAAAUGCAAAUCAAAACCACAAUGAGAUACCAUCCCACACCAGUUAGAAUGGCAAUCAUUAAAAAGUCAGGAAACAACAGGUGCUGGAGAGGAUGUGGAGAACUAGGAACACUUUUACACUGUUGGUGGGACUGUAAACUAGUUCAACC